rnacentral:rRNA from 1 species
UCUUGGUCAUUUAGAGGAAGUAAAAGUCGUAACAAGGUUUCCGUAGGUGUCCCUGCGGAAGGGUCAAAAUCAAAGUACAACCAAGGUUGAAACACAUGAACCGGAGGAAGGAUCAUUGGUUCGAGUUUCCGGGGGUUAGCCUCCGUGUCGGGGGGGAGUGAGCCCCAUACCUGUGCUUUCUAGGUGGUCUGUCCGAAGAAAAGCCCAAUUUCAACCAAACGCAGCAGCAAUUCAACUAAGAAAAACAUAAAAGUUCCAACGUUGAACAACGGAUUUAAAGGUUUUAGGUAGGGUGAAGAACACCGCGAAAGAAUAUAAAUAUUGUUGAAUGCAGAAUUCAGUGAAUCAUUGUAUCGGGGGGCACACCAUGCGCCCCUCAUCAUUCAUGGGGCAAGCGCGUUUGAGGGUCAUUUCUGCCUGCUAGCUGGCCUGGGGGUAUGGGGUUCCGUCCCCGCAAGGCAGGGGCGGAUUAUACCACUCGGGCAAGAGCGUGAUAAACACAUCGUUCAGGCAUCUCGCCGGGAAGGUUAUAACGGCGUGAUCCAAAAGUCCAUUUCAAGCUGACCUCUC